UGGUGGAGUGAUUUGUCUGGUUAAUUCCGAUAACGAACGAGACUCUAGCCUAUUAAAUAGUUAACGCAUGCUGAGCAGUGCUUGUUAACUUCUUAGGGGGAUUUUACCACGUUAUAGUGGCAAGAAAUUGAGCAAUAACA
rnacentral:rRNA from 1 species